AUGCAAGUCGAGGGGCAGCAUUUUAGUUUGCUUGCAAACUAAAGAUGGCGACCGGCGCACGGGUGAGUAACACGUGUGCAACCAACCCCGUACCGGGAGAUAACCCGCGGAAACGUGGACUAACAUCCCAUGAUACUCGAGGGCCGCAUGGCUCUCGAUUUAAAAUUCCGGUGGUACGGGACGGGCACGCGCGACAUUAGGUAGUUGGCGGGGUAACGGCCCACCAAGCCGACGAUGUCUAGGGGUUCUGAGAGGAAGGUCCCCACACUGGAACUGAGACACGGUCCAGACUCC
rnacentral:rRNA from 1 species